rfam:Nocardiopsis sp. NRRL B-16309 P441contig4.1, whole genome shotgun sequence.
CGGGACGUAGCGCAGUUUGGUAGCGCACUUGACUGGGGGUCAAGGGGUCGUGGGUUCAAAUCCCGCCGUCCCGA